GGAGCGCGGGGAAGGAGUGGGCUGUGAGGGAAGGCGUUCUCGUGGGGGGUUUCAGGAGCCUCUUCCUUGACCUCCCUCUUCCCGGCUGCCCAUUUUCCGGGAACGAGGGAGAACCCCCCACCCCAUGGGGCAAUAACAGAGCAGGGUUGGCAUCUGCGCCACCCACAAGAGUCAGAAGAGGCGGACUCGUGGCGGAGCUCGCAGUCUGGUGCUGGAGCCAGGAGAAGAGGCGCGAAGGCGUCUGUGCUCCCCGUCUUUGGGAACGGCAGAAGAAAGUCAGGAUGCUUAGACACCCGCUCCCGCUUCUGAAAUCCUUCGUGAAGUUGGGCCGCACCAAGAGCGUUCAACAGGCCGGAUAGGCAUGCUCGCUGGAUCUGGCUGGUGGUCCCCAUCUGGCCUCCUGGGGAGCGGGCAGUCCCUGAUCCAGCCACCGAAUGGAAAGGGACUUGGCCUGGCUUCAGCCAGGUCCUGUGUGGAGAACAGUGUGCGAGCAGCCCAGACCUAAUUCACUGACACUGGGGGGGGGGGAUUUGGCCUGGUUCCAGUCCUCCACAGGGGGCUUGGGAGAGGUGGCUGUAUUAAUUAACAGUGUUCGUAUCAUUGGCACCCAUGAGCUAGACAGUUUCCAAUCCAACCUUAAUAAGCAACAUCACUAUUGCACUGCCCCCGACACACCAUAAAAGUCAGGCAGCUCGUACCUCUCCUGCUGCUUGCAUCUUUCCAAGGAAUAAAUGAACGGUGCCUGGUCUAUACGUGUCCCACAGCGUGUGUCCUCGGCAUGCUGCUGCAAUGGUACAGCCUGGGAUGCUGAGAGAGAUGAAAUUGAGUCUCCGUCUCUUGUGGAAAGUCAGGACCCAAUGGGUAUGUGUAGCUGACUUCACAUUGCUAGUAGGACAUCGGAUGCAAGGAAGCAAGGCGGAGGCACGUUUGGAUUCCUUACUCCCUGGAUCGGGAUGCUGCCCCCUUGUCCCAAUCUGGCUCUGUAUUUUGAGCACAACUAAAAUACACCUACUGCAAGUUUCCCUCGCUUUAUGCGGGUUCUGUAUAGGUAAAUCCAUUCUUAUGCAAUGCCCCUUUUUAUACCAAAAAUUCAUUAUAUGCGAGGUAAAUUCACUCUUCGAUUGGUGUGCUGGAAGCCCACAGUCAGCUGCUUUAUGCAGUGCAUUGUGGGAGUGACACGCAUCAAAAUAUAGUCUUCUUUGUGGAUCUGUGUUCCUCGCUUGUUUGCGACACGUGUUUCUUUAGUUGCCAUCCCCAUUAUGGUAACUUUCACCACCACCCUGUGCUUGUGUGUGCUGUCUGCUGUUGGUGAGUGCCAAAAUUGUCUUGUAAAAGUGGUAGAAAUGGGUCUGGGGGUCAGUACAGUCAAGGUCUUGGAACGUAUCCCUAUUUGUUAUAUUGUAAAGUGGGUUUCCUUUAUGCAAAUUCAAGUUAUGUGCUAUUUUCCAGAAAUGCGUGUACAACAUAAAGCGAGGGAAACCUGUAUAUUGCACACUAGAUAUGGUAAGGGGGAACUUCAGGCAGGCAUAUGCUAUUUACACAAAAGUGUCUUCAAUUUUACUAAAGCACACAAGGCCUAAAUUCAGGGCAUCAUCCACAUCUAUAUUGCAGACCAGGUCUAUAAAGUAUUAUAUCUGGCAAAGCAGUGACUCCCAGGAGGACUUAAGGUGUUGGGAUGGCUAAUUUGCUGGACACAUGCAUUUGCUUCCAGUGUUGUGUGUUGCUUCCAGUGUUGUGUGUGGCUACACUGCACUUGAGCUUUAGUUUGUAGAGCUCUGAACUAGGCAUGUACAUUUUCUGAGUGCUUGUAUCUACUCCUUCCUUCCUCUGUGGUAGUAGUUAUGAGUUGAAGCUUCCAGUUAUGAGUUGGAGUGUAACCCUGACUCUCCCCUGACUCCCACCACGGUGCUGAGCUCUGUGGGACUGGCAAUGCUGCCCAGGGCACAGCCCAGUGGCAGGAGAUGGGGGGUGGAGGGGGGGGGAGGAGCCAGGGCUCUACCCCAACCGGCUCCGCCAGCCCCGUGGAGCUCAGCCCAGUGGCAGGAGGCAGGGGAGAGCCAGGGCUGCACUCCGUUUCCUGCCGCCGGCUGAGCUCCGUGGGGCUGGCAGAGCCACUCAGAAGGAAGCCCUGGCUCUCUGUCUCCUCCCGCUGCCUGCGCUCUGAGUGACUCCGCCGCCACCACCACGGAGCUGAGCCUGGUGGUGGGAGGCAGGGGAGAGCCACUGGCCACUAAAAAAAAAAAAGUAAAAAUACUCAUGGAAGUGGUGAAAUAUGUAAACAAUUGCCACAAAAGUUUGUAUGGAAGAAAGUUUGCUAGAAUAGACCAUAUUAUUUCCCUACUGUGGCAUCUUGGAUUCAAAACUUCUGAGGGACUCCUUUGCUACCACAUACAUCCCUGAAACAUGGAAGAUGCUGAAUUUAAAUCCAAAAUUGGCUAAAACUUCAUUGCUGAACAACCAGAAAGAUUUCUAUGCCUCCUUGCCUUUCUGCCACCUGACACCACCAAGGAAGGAAUCCUGCCUUAUCUGCAUAUCAAAGAGCAAAUCACAAAGACACUCUCAUGGAGCCAGAGGAACAAACUUCCACCUUUAGCUUCCUCUGUGCAAAAAUGAAGUUUAUUUUCUACCUAUAGGGACUUUCUACCAUCUUUAAUUUUCCUUGAGUCUAAGGAAGGGCACAUGUACCUGAAAGCUUCCAGAAAAAGAUUUUUUUUUCCCCAAUUUAUUUGUUGGUCUAAUAAAAAGUAUCAUCUGUGAA